UGUAUACUGCUAUUUUUUACCAAGAAGGGAACAGCAUGUAAUAUUUCUCUGGCUGUUCCAGAUGCUGAAGAAAUCUGUGAAAUAGUAAGAUCAUGUCUGGGUGAGAGUAUGUAUCAAUUGAUAUGUUUACGCAUUGAACCUGGGAGAGUAAAAUAGCUUGACAUGAAUCAUGAUGUUCGUGUGGAGCAUAGCCAUACCAUUCCAGAUGUACAGCACAGCAAAACAGUACCUAUCAAUUUUGCCUCAGUUGUGAUAUGAAAUUUAUUUGCAGGGCUUGACACCAAAAAUCAAUUCCCUGUUGUGGAGCAACCAUGCACUAUGUUAUGGCAGCCUGUUGUUCAACAUAGUGGAUCAGG